rnacentral:misc_RNA from 1 species
AAGUCGUAACAAGGUUUCCGUAGGUGAACCUGCCCAAGGAUCAUUAACACGUAUCCAAACGUUAAAACCCCCCCCGUGAACCUUCAUCCUGCUCUUGUAACCCGCGUAGUUCGCAAUCUCUGAUAAAUCAUAGCCCAGAAGGUUGUAGUGAUUCAGAGACCUCUGGCUACGUGCGAACAUUCAAGCAGUCAGUGUCGGAAAGUGUCAUUGAUUGUGCAAGGAUAGCGCUUCUACAAUUCCUGUAGACCGUACACUCGGGCAGGAGCUUUGCCAAAGGGUCCCCAUGCCCCCUAAUAACCCCACAGUUUAAUGUAAAGCUCAAUGUAAUACAUUGGGUAAAAAAACCGAACAACUGUUAACAAUGGAUAUCUUGGUUCUC